rnacentral:snRNA from 1 species
ACGCCUAGGACACCAGAAUA